rnacentral:rRNA from 1 species
UGGGGAAUAUUGCACAAUGGGCGAAAGCCUGAUGCAGCAACGCCGCGUGAGUGAUGAAGGUCUUCGGAUUGUAAAGCUCUGUCUUUUGGGACGAUAAUGACGGUACCAAAGGAGGAAGCCACGGCUAACUACGUGCCAGCAGCCGCGGUAAUACGUAGGUGGCGAGCGUUGUCCGGAUUUACUGGGCGUAAAGGGUGCGUAGGCGGAUGUUUAAGUGAGAUGUGAAAUACCCGGGCUUAACUUAGGUGCUGCAUUUCAAACUGGAUAUCUAGAGUGCAGGAGAGGAGAAUGGAAUUCCUAGUGUAGCGGUGAAAUGCGUAGAGAUUAGGAAGAACACCAGUGGCGAAGGCGAUUCUCUGGACUGUAACUGACGCUGAGGCACGAAAGCGUGGGUAGCAAACAGGAUUAGAUACCCUGGUAGUCCACGCCGUAAACGAUGAGUACUAGGUGUAGGAGGUAUCGACCCCUUCUGUGCCGCAGUAAACACAUUAAGUACUCCGCCUGGGAAGUACGAUCGCAAGAUUAAAACUCUAAAGUGAAUUGAC